AGAAACUUAGGUUAAACACAAACCAAGGGCCUUCAAAGCCCCAAAUACGAGGACUACUCUUAGUUUCUG
rnacentral:tRNA from 1 species